rnacentral:rRNA from 1 species
UUGGACUGGACAAUUCGGUUCAAGAUAAUUGAAGGAGUCGCUCGAGGCCUUCAGUUUCUCCAUGAGGACUCUCAGAAGAAGAUUGUCCACCGUGACCUGAAAGCUAGCAAUGUUCUGUUGGAUGCGGACAUGAGCCCUAAGAUCGGAGACUUUGGCCUCGCAAAGCUCUUUGGGCAAGAUCAGACUCGCGAGGUCACCAGCCGGAUCGUCGGUACAUUGUGA